GGAUUGUGGCUCAGUGGCAGAGUGCUUGCCUCGCGUGUGUGAGGCAAUGGGUUCGAUUCUCAGCACCA
rnacentral:tRNA from 1 species